AGCCAAGCGGUUGUGGCAGAGCCCAUGUGGCCCAUGAAGCCUGAAGUCCUCACUGCCUGGCCCUCAUUGGAAAUUGGCAGCACCUCAGCCUUAUGGGCUGACUGGGCUUGUGUACCCAAAAACUCCAGAUAACUGAUUCCCCCCAGAUGACCGGCCUCUUCUGCAUGCAAUUCCAGCCUCCCAACUGCAGCUCCCCUCCCCUGCCCAGCUCCGGGCACUGCUUCAUGUGCCCUGGAGAAGGACCCUUGCUUUACUUCUGACUCACGCACUCAGCAGCUCUUGGCUGAUCACCUGAUGGUCCAGAUACUGUCAGCUCUGGGCUGAAGAGAAGGUCCAUCCCACACAGCUGACACUGGAGCAGGAAAGACAGAUGAUUACCAUAUUGACCAAGUCCUGUGCAGGAAGUGAGAAAGGAUGACAUCCUUGGCUCUUAUUCCCCAUGGUGCUUAUGGAAGCUUCCCAGGGAGUCACCAUUUCUCUGAUUUGAAGGGACCAGGCAGCCAGAGGACAGCACAUUCCAAAAGACCAGGGACCAAGAGCCUUCAUCCUGGUGUCUGCCAGCCUUGCAGACAGGCCUGCUUGAUGUGGACCACGGAAAGAUGGUCAUCAGGCUUUAAGACUCAGGAAACUUCCAGCAAAGACCCCAAAGAAGAAGCAGUUUGUGGUGUUGGACGGGAUCCUGGAGCAGCUGCAGGACAGUGACCAUGACGGCAAGGAG